rnacentral:rRNA from 1 species
GUCUUUUUGUUUAAAAUUUAAAGUCUAACCUGCCCAAUGAUUAUUUUAAUGGCUGCGGUAUUUUGACCGUACAAAGGUAGCAUAAUCAUUAGUUUUUUAAUUGAAAACUUGUAUGAAUGGUUGAACGAGAAAAUUACUGUCUCAAUUUAAAUUAAUUAGAAUUUUAUUUUUAAGUUAAAAAGCUUAAAUUUAACUAAAAGACGAGAAGACCCUAUAGAGUUUAAUAGUUAUUUUAAAUAAUUUUUAAGAAUUUUAUAAUUUAAAAUAAAUAUUUUAUUGGGGUGAUAAAUAAAUUUAAUUAACUUUAUUAAAUUUAAGUCAUUAAUUUAUGAAUUAUUGAUCCAAAUUUUUUUGAUUAAAAGAUUAAAUUACCUUAGGGAUAACAGCGUAAUUUUUUUUGAGAGUUCUUAUCGAAAAAAAAGAUUGCGACCUCGAUGUUGGAUUAAAAUUAAUUUUUGGUGUAGAAGCUAAACUAUUAAGUCUGUUCGACUUUUAAUUUUUUACAUGAUCUGAGUUUAAAUCGGCGUGAGCCAGAUUGGUUUCUAUCUUUAUUAAAUUAAAAUAUUUUAGUACGAAAGGACCAAAUAUUAAUAAAAUUUAUUUUAUUUAUGAAUAU